UCGACCUAGGUGGAGAAUUUUGUAUUGAGCUAUAAUAGAAAAUUACAUUAAUCUAGUUGUUGGAGAUUGAUUUGUUAAGUAAUGAAAAUCUUGAAAAGGCCAAAAUUAGUAUCGAUAAAGGUUCAAACUUUCCAUUUAGUUCAUCAAGAUCACCUUAAGCCCUAUAUAGGUAAUUGACAUAUUUGAGAUAUGAGGCAUGGAGUAACACGAUCCCGAUGAUAUAAAUAUUAAGGUGAGAAUUGCUGAAAUUGAUAGAGAAUCGAGUUUAAAUCGGGUAAGUAACUAAAUGAACGGUUAAGGAAUUAAAUCUAUAAAAUAUUUUGGGAUAUUAGGACAAGUAAAAUGGAUUUUAAACACACUAAAAUAAGCUAAGGACACUUGAUUUGUACCUAUAAGGAUGGAUGUAAAACAAGAUUUGUACCAUAAAGGCUUGGGAUAGUUGUCAUUUUAACAUCCAAUUUCUUUAUCCUUAAGAUAUCCAGUACGUCUCCUACCUCUUGUACUUCAUAUAGGAUAGAUAUAUAUCUUAUAAGCCAAUAUGGAUCUAAAUAGGAUAAGAGAAAAGUUAAAUAUUGCUGGAAAAAGCCACUUCAUGCUUAACACAUGUUUAUUUGACUGUUUAUAACAUUUCUUAAUCCUUAAGCAAGAACCACGACCUCAAACUCUUAAGGACCUCUUCUUUACCUCCUAAAUAAGAUAUCAACUCCUUUAACUUUUUACCAAUUGAUUCAAAGUGAAAAAGAGAGCAAAAGAGCCAAAGGAAAAUAGAAAACAAAAAGCUGGAAUUGAAAGUGUUGGGCAGCUAGUUUAGUUUAUUGUUUUGAGUUUGUAUUCAUUAUUUUUAGCAUUUAUAAUCUCUUAAAUAUCUGAUCUUGCUGAAGACCAAGUUGUAUGUCGUUGGUAAAAUUGUGGUGGCAAAAAAGGGUAAUUGAUUGCAAGAACAUAGAGGAAAUCAAUAUGGAUAAAGACUUGAUAGUUGCUGAAUUUUAAUGAUUUAACCUUUUAUUUUAAAUAAUCCCUUUGCUAUAACUUCUAUUUAUCAAUAUGAAAGUUUUAAUAUUUGAUUUAAAAGUAUAUAAAUGAUCUUUAGUAGGUUAGAAUCCAAUUCUUGAAGGUCUAAUCCAAGUUAAACUCAAAGCAGCCAUGAUGAAAUCCUGAUUUGGUGUUUGGUAAAAAGAACUAAUUUUCAAGUUGUAAAUCCUCUACUUGUGACAACUUAAUAACAUAAUUACCUGCACAUGUAUGUUAUAUAAGUGUGUUAAAAGUUUGGGAAGGAAUGAAUAUAACGCCCUGAAAAUUUAUAGAAAAAUUUAUUUGUACUAUAUGCUAUAUUUUUAUAUUUUAAAAGUUGAGGGGCUAAAAUGCAAUAUAUUAAACUCAAUUUUAUUGAUAUUUAGUAUAUCAAUAUGGGGCUCGUUGGUAGCUUGUAAUUAAUCAUGUAUAUUAUGCUCCAGAAAAAGUUAAUUCGAAUAAAC
rnacentral:lncRNA from 1 species